GUGGGGAAUCUUCCGCAAUGGACGAAAGUCUGACGGAGCAACGCCGCGUGAGUGAAGAAGGUUUUCGGAUCGUAAAGCUCUUUCGUUAGGGACGAACGUGCUCUUUGUGAAUAAUGAGGAGUAAUGACGGUACCUAAAUAAGAAGCCACGGCUAACUACGUGCCAGCAGCCGCGGUAAUACGUAGGUGGCAAGCGUUGUCCGGAAUUAUUGGGCGUAACGCGCGCGCAGGCGGGAUAUCAAGGCUGUCUUAAAAGUGCGAGGCUCAACCUCGUGAGGGGACAGAAACUGGUAUUCUUGAGUGUCGGAGAGGAAAGUGGAAUUCCAAGUGUAGCGGUGAAAUGCGUAGAGAUUUGGAAGAACACCAGUGGCGAAGGCGACUUUCUGGACGAUGUCUGACGCUGAGGCGCGAAAGCUAGGGGAGCGAACGGGAUUAGAUACCCUGGUAGUCC
rnacentral:rRNA from 1 species